rnacentral:misc_RNA from 1 species
UUGAUUAUUUGUUUUGUUUAUCAGAGUACUGCUAUUGCAAUAAAGGGUUUGAGGUCGUCCACCGGCGGGCGGGCCCGCCGAAGAAACAGAAGGUGCUCGAAAAUCAAGGGUGCUAUCUCGAAGGGGGUGUUACGCCCCUACGGUAAUGAUCCUUCCGCAGGUUCACCUACGGAAA